GAUGAACGCUGGCGGCGUGCCUAAUACAUGCAAGUCGAGCGAACAGACGCGGAGCUUGCUCCUCUGACGUUAGCGGCGGACGGGUGAGUAACACGUGGAUAACCUACCUAUAAGACUGGGAUAACUUCGGGAAACCGGAGCUAAUACCGGAUAAUAUAUUGAACCGCAUGGUUCAAUAGUGAAAGACGGUUUUGCUGUCUCUUAUAGAUGGAUCCGCGCCGCAUUAGCUAGUUGGUAAGGUAACGGCUUACCAAGGCAACGAUGCGUAGGCGACCUGAGAGGGUGAUCGGCCACACUGGAACUGAACCACGGUCCAGACGCCUACGGGAGGCAGCAGUAGGGAAUCUUCCGCAAUGGGCGAAAGCCUGACGGAGCAACGCCGCGUGAGUGAUGAAGAUCUUCGGAUCGUAAAACUCUGUUAUUAGUGAAGAACAAAUGUGUAAGUAACUAUGCACGUCGUGACGGUACCUAAUCAGAAAGCCACGGCUAACUACGUG
rnacentral:rRNA from 1 species